UUUCCGUAGGUGAACCUGCGGAGGGAUCAUUAUUGUAUAACCGAGGUGCUAGGGCUGUCGCUGACCCGAAAGGUCGUGCACGCGCGCGUGCCCUCACACAAAUCCAUCUCACCCCUAUGUGCACCACCGCGUGGGUCCCCCUUUGGCUUGUUCGGAGGGGGGCUUACGUUUUCACACAAACUUUAUCUGCAGUGUAGAAUGUAUUUUUGUUUUUGCGAUCACGCAAUCAAUACAACUUUCAACAACGGAUCUCUUGGCUCUC
rnacentral:misc_RNA from 1 species